GAUGAACGCUGGCGGCGUGCCUAAUACAUGCAAGUAGAACGCUGAAGGAGGGGCUUGCUCUUCUGGAUGAGUUGCGAACGGGUGAGUAACGCGUAGGUAACCUGCCUGGUAGCGGGGGAUAACUAUUGGAAACGAUAGCUAAUACCGCAUGACAACAGCUAUUGCAUGAUAACUGUUUAAAAGGGGCAACUGCUCCACUACCAGAUGGACCUGCGUUGUAUUAGCUAGUUGGUGAGGUAACGGCUCACCAAGGCGACGAUACAUAGCCGACCGGAGAGGGGGAGCGGCCACACUGAGACUGAGACACGGCCCAGACGGCUACGGGAGGCAGCAGUAGGGAUUCGGCGGCAAGGGGCGGAAGUCAGACCGAGCAACGCGGCGGGAGUGAGGAAGGUUGUCGGAUCGUAAAGCUCGGUUGUAAGAGAAGAACGAGUGUGAGAGUGGAAAGUUCACACUGUGACGGUAUCUGACCAGAAAGGGACGGCUAACUACGUG
rnacentral:rRNA from 1 species